rnacentral:rRNA from 1 species
GACGAACGCUGGCGGCGUGCUUAACACAUGCCAGUCGAACGGAAAGGCCCUGCUUUUGUGGGGUGCUCGAGUGGCGAACGGGUGAGUAACACGUGAGUAACCUGCCCUUGACUUUGGGAUAACUUCAGGAAACUGGGGCUAAUACCGGAUAGGAGCUCCUGCUGCAUGGUGGGGGUUGGAAAGUUUCGGCGGUUGGGGAUGGACUCGCGGCUUAUCAGCUUGUUGGUGGGGUAGUGGCUUACCAAGGCUUUGACGGGUAGCCGGCCUGAGAGGGUGACCGGCCACAUUGGGACUGAGAUACGGCCCAGACUCCUACGGGAGGCAGCAGUGGGGAAUAUUGCACAAUGGGCGGAAGCCUGAUGCUGCAACUCCGCGUGCGGGAUGACGGCCUUCGGGUUGUAAACCGCUUUCGCCUGUGACGAAGCGUGAGUGACGGUAAUGGGUAAAGAAGCACCGGCUAACUACGUG